CGGCCGACUGGCCGCCUUGUGAGUCGGCCAGUGUACGCCAAGCAAGUCAAAACAUUGUUUAGCACACCGGACGCAAGCAGGAAUAGGUGACUGGAGGUAGCGAAAAAAUAGGUGAGUGGGUAGUCGAGGAGACGGAAUAGGAAAGAAGAGAGUAGGGCAGCGUACACAGGAGUUGGGGGUGUCGUUAAGGAGGGGACGCAUGAGAGAGAGGGUACCGGAUGGAGGUUUAUUUGUCGAGCGGCCGGCGCCUUAUCCACGCACCACUCGACCGCUAGUGCCUCCUCGUGUGUGCUUCUACGUCUCCACGCGCAGCAUGCUGCUAGUCGCUCGUCUCCACGUCACGAGCAGCAGAACAUACGGCCUUGAUCUACACGCGGGAGAGGUACCGGUAGCGUUGGUCCCAAGCAAUCAGCGUACCGGUUCGACGUUAACCGGUGCCCCCGUUGCUUAGACACGACCUUGGUCCAAAAACAAAACGACCUAGGUAGGUAAACAAAACGAUGUUGGGGAAAGAGAAAAAAGAUGGUAGGGGUAAGCUAAAGAUUACUUGUAAACCUAAAAACGACCUUGGCCCGGGCAAAAACGACCUUGGUUAACCACCUAUACGACGUUCCAGCUGUGGUGCGGCCUCCUUCGACGUAGAUCACCGUUCCUCCCAACGCCGGUUGCGGCAAGCUUGCGGCCUUCAACGUUGGCACAUGCGACCUCGAUGUUGGCCGCUGACCCCCUCGACGUUCUCCCCAUGCUACGUGCAGCUGUUACUCAGGUCGUCUCUGCCGCUGCGGCGCGAUGCUACCCGCCGUACUCAAAAACUACAGGCUCGACGUAGGCCGGUAGCUGCCCUCGACGUACGUCGUCCUCCCACGACGACCUAGCUGAUGCUCUACACCUCCCACACGCUGUUGCCGUUGCCGCUCGACGCCUCUCUCCACCGCUGGACGUUGGGUACCGCUGCCGCCGCCGGCGCCCCACGCGCUCGAAACACGUCGUUCCGGCGCCCCCGCCCCCGCCGACCGACUCGCGCGACUGAGCAACAUCUUCCUCCGUACUACACGCCUUCCUGUCCUUUAGCACGCCGAUGAAAACGGACUUAGGUUGCCGAUCCGCUGGCCGGCUUUCAACCCGGCCACGCGGCCGCGGAUCGUCACCGGUAGUUUGUAUGUGAAGUAGAACCUAGGUUAAAAAAACCCAGGAUCGUAUAUAGCCUAGGUCUGUUCUCCGCUAGCCCUAGUUUUAGUUAUGCUGUUUGUUCCUUCUUUAGCUAUAUUUCCGGGCUACCGAGCAGGCACAUGCACUAGCUGGCUCGUUCGUUCGUUAACUAGACGUUCGUCGUCGUCGGCCCUCGGCCGGUACCGCAGGUGCGGAAACUUGUUCUGCCGCAGGUGCGUGUCCAGCUGCAAUCAGGCUCCGUUCGUGGUCAAAGUAUACCAGCCGAUGUCGCUCGCCUUCCGAGAGCGGCCGCACUCGCGGUCUUUGUGGAGGCAGCAGUCCAGGCCGCUGAAGCUCCGGCCUCCUACGUGGACCCGUGAAGUCAACAGCGAAGUCCUUUGUUCCUGACCGCAGGUAGAGGGACCUCGACCAGUCGCCGUUCAUGCGGCGGUGGCGGUACCGGUCGAACUCCUAGCUUCUGGGCGAAGUGGCCACCGGACGGCGCCAUACCGCUUCGGGCCUGUGGUUGUGGAAGGGCCGUUGUUGUUCACUUUCCUCAUCAACCUUCGACAGCCAGGGGUUCGGCAAAAAGGUAACGGUUCUCCUCGCCAUGCACCAUCUACUGGCGGAGUGGUAGGAGACGCAGCAGGUACAGGAGGCCGACCUGCAGUGGGAGGGUUUAUGGUCCUCGACGAAGUAGAGCCAGCACGGCGGCGGUUGGUAGAGGCCUCUAGAGGAGUACGAAGAAAAACGCAGCUACAGAUUUAGUCUAAGGCACUUCGUGCGGUACUCCGGUCUGCACUGCAAGUAGCACCCCGUCUGGUUCUAGGCCCGCGUAUUCGAACAGGAACGGCACGCCAGCGGCCAAAAGCGCCGCCUCAAAGCUACCGUGUACUUACUCUCAUAGUAUUAGUCCCAGCUGCUGCUGCUGUACUCGCGGAGGUGAAAGUCCCGGUACGAGGCGAAGUAGAUGUGGCUACUCGAAGGGUAGUUUGGUUUGUUGCUGGCGUACUAUGAUUGUUCGCUUCUAUUCGUGCGCCGUUCCGAGAUGCUCCGGUACCACGCGCUGGACGACCAUCGGCGGCUAUCCAUACUGAAUGUUUCCGAUUCCGAGAACCCGCUCUUCCAUGAUCGACUCCCGUACCUACUAUUCAGACAGUAUGGAUGUGACUACCACCACGUGCCAUCCAUGUCAACAGCCGUCGAGCUCCUAAAUACGUAGCUCAUGUAUCGCAGGGUAGGUUUACAAAUAUCACUGGACUUCCGUUGGCUCCUCAUAUUGCUUUAGUUCUUAUCAACGAAGAGAAAGGAUGAGCUCCAGUGGCUGUUUCAUCUGUACUAGCUAUACCGAGGUUUCCGUUCGAGGUCGUUAGAGGUCAGGGUGUUUUCUUUCGCUUUACUACCUCCAGUCCACCAUCAGGUGCCGAGUGUGUUCAAAUGCUAGGGGAUGAAAUCCCGGCAAGUCUCCUCGGACGAACGACAACCGUUUUUAUGGUAAACAAGACCGUAAAAAGUCCAACCGCCGAUGUUAACCGUCGAUACACAUGCCACCAAUAUGGGUAGGUUAAGAAGCCUUAAACAACACAUAGAGACACACCACUCAUCAAAACUUUGAAGGGUACAGUGAUGCAGUUAACCGAAGUUCUAUCUACUGGGAUCACCGUACAGGAACGGCGGUUAUUGUUACCAUCUUCUUUAAAAAUGGCUCCGUCUUAUGAAGUCCGUACGUUUCAAGUGGGAGUACUUUAGUUGGUUGAGGAGUGUACUACUGAGGGAGUGAUAUGUGACGGUAGAGUUACAGUGGUUCCUCCGACGAACGUGAUCAAGAUCGUGGUAGAGGCUACCACGGCCUCAGUGCCAGCAACACGGAGGUGGGAUGUAGCCAAACGUGGAACUCGUCAACAACGAACCACCCGUUUCCAGACUACACUCCAAGGACCAACUCCUCACACUGUAGGCACGAGUACCCGAGCAUUAGCGCCGAGCUAGUGGUCAGGAUAUGGUUCACCAACUUCGCCGCCGCCGGUUCCACCUGUUAGUAGUGUAGCAUGCCCAGCUGCUGUACUUCCGUCGUCAGAAGUCCAGACAAGAGGUGAAGUAGAUGUGGCUGUUCGACGGGAGAUAUCUAUUGGGUCAGGAACGGCAACUUCUGUACGAGCGCCGUCGGACGGCUAAGCCAGAGCUCUCCAACUUCUAACGCACGCUCUUGAAAAAGCGACUGGUGUAGAGCUUAUUCUUACGUAACACGUGCAACUUUGACCGCGUUGCAGUGGUGACGAACCUUGAUCUUUUUAUGACACAGUUCAAGUAGAGAUGUACU
rnacentral:rRNA from 1 species